AGCCAAGGCCACGGGUGAGACAAGCCUGUGUUAUGCGCUUAUAUAAUGCACAGGCUUCACCCAGAGAUGGAACCAGCUCGAACUACCAACUGAUAAUGUCUCAAGCAGACAACAGGUGACCAAAUUAAGGAAAGAAACCAGGAUCCUGGCAGCCCAGGAAGCAGAGCCGGUCAUGACAACAUGCAGCUGAUGAUGUGGGGGUGAAAGGCUGAGUAAGCGGUUGCAAUCUGCAGUGAGCCAAGCUGAAAGGCCCGGGCGGAUGUGAAGGCUGGUGGUAAGGAAAUGGGAAGCAGGCAGCCAAGCUAACCCUGUGUCCACUGAAGGAGUGAGGUGGCCUUGAGCACAGCAGCAUCCCUGGGUCUUACGUCGGCCAGAAGUAGAAAGGGAAGAAGCCUAAAGGAAGUGAAAGUGUUGCUGGAUCUCCUGCUGGCAUUGCCUCCUCCUUCACACAGCAUCCCGGUUCUCCCUGCAGCCACCUGAUCUUCCCUUUGUCCCCUUCCUCACCACAGCCCCACCACCUUCACCACUCCAAGUUGAUGCUUCUCCUACAUCUGGCCAAGAUGCUACUCAGAGGUGGAUGAAAGCAAAAGUCACUGCUCUAAUACAAGAAAAGUCCCGGUUUUAGGUUUCAGAAACAGAAUUUUCCCGAAUGUUUAAAAUGGUGAAUGGUUCCAUAAACUGUGUUAACCAGGCUUCUUACAGGCUAGUCCCAGAAUCUGACCACCAUGUGCAAUACUGUUUCUAAGAAAAGUGUGCUCCAAGCAAGAACCUUCAAACAUUUAACCUGAAUGAAUGAAUAUAACCUCUUCACGGUUCAGUGUUUUCAUAAGCAAAACAAGAGAAUAGCAGCAUUGAUGUCUUUUAAAAAAAAUUUAGGGCUGGGCGCGGUGGCUCACGCCUGUAAUCCCAGCACUUUGGGAGGCCAAGGCAGGCAGAUCACUCCUGAGGUCAGGAGUUUGAGACCAGUCUGGCCAACAAGAUGAAACCCUGUCUCUACUAAUAAUACAAAAAAAUUAGCUGGAAUGUGGUGGCACAUGACUGUAAUCCCAGCUACUCAGGAGGCUGAGGCAGGAGAAUCACUUGAACCCAGGAAGCAGAGGUUGCAGUGAGCCGAGAUCGAGCCACUGCACUCCAGCCUGCGUGACAAGAGCAAAACUCCAUCUCAAAAAAAAAAAAAAAAAAAAAAAUUUGGAAAGCUUCCCAUUUGGGAUCUGUCCACCUACACAGGGCAACACGAUAGUAUUGACAUCUCUUAGCUUUUACGGAAUUUUCUGCCUACAAUGCAGAGGGCAAAGAAGGGGUAUUGUCAGCUUGGCUUUGCUGUCUCUGAGUGACAGUCUCUUGUAUACGUAAAUAAGAUGAAUUUUCAUAAAAGCAUUGACAGAGCAUUAGCUUCACCUCAGAAAGAAAAUGAAAAAGCAAAUGACAACUGUAGUCAAAGAAGAAAUUAAAAUAUAGUUAAAUAGUAAACAGAUCAAGAAAAAAUCAGUGAAAACCUUUAACUUGCAACCUAUUCUUUUUAAAGACAUCAGUACACAAAGAUUGGGAAAGUUUAUUAAAAAUGUUACCAAACUUUAAGUUCUUCUUUUUUUUUUUUUUUUUUUUUUGAAACAGGGUCUCAUUCUGUCACCCAGGCUGGACUGCAGUAGCACGAUUUCAGCUCACCGCAGCCUCAGCCUCCCAGGCUCAAGGGAUCCUCCCACCUCAACCUCCCGAGUAGCUGGGAAUAAGUUCUUACUCACUCCGUUAGGUUGAGCUAUUCGAACAUCACUGUUUCCCAUGUAAACGUUGAGACCUUCAUUAGGCUCUCCUUGCUUACCCUGCCAUUUCACUUCAGGUGUCACCACCUUUAAGAAGCUACCCCUUGCCAGGUGUGGUGGCUCACACCUGUAAUCCCAGCUCUUAGGGAGGCAGAGGCAGGAGGAUAGCUUGAGCCCAGGAAAUUGAGACCUGCCUAGGCAAUAUAGCGAGACCCCAUUCUCCACAAAAAGGAAAAAAGCAAACAAAAAACAAGCAUAAGAAGCUACCCUUGAACCCACUGUAUCCUCAAUCUGAUUUUUGAAGCUGAUUCCUGGGAGCCCAGCAUCCUGGCACAGAGGCACUGCUAAGGCAAAGGCAUUGGUCUGCCCUCCCCACCAACUCUGAGCUCUUCAGGGGCAGGAAUAUGAUAUAUACAAGCAGUUCAUUUAAUCUCUACGAGCUGAAAUGAUUCAUUUGUCUUAAUAAUGCUGUCAUUUUAAAGUACAGAAUUUGAGAGCUGGAGGGAAUCUCAGAUACCAAUUAUUCCAACACUCCACUCUUUUCUGAGGCUUUAAAUGACUUGCUCCAAGUUAGAAAAGAAUCAGGACCCAAAGCCAAACCUUGAAAAUGCUGUUCUAAUGCUUUGUGCCUGCAUCCCAUGCCACCUUGCCUUUGUAAAUUCACAGGAUUAAAUAAGGGAAUCCUAAAAAAAUGUGUUCAAUUCCCCCUUCACUUCUAACCCUGGUCAAUUUUACAGGCAAAGAAACACCACUGGAGGCAAUGAAGGGCCGUUCUCACAAUUACAUGGUUCACAGCAGAGCUGGGAUGAAAACUCGGAUCUAAUAUGAGGGACCAUGUUCUUCCCACUAUCUCAUAAAAAUUCAACUUUCAAGUACAGGUCAUGGGUGUAGAGCAAAGGUCAGCAUGGCACAGGGGCCAAAUCCUGUGGGCCACCUGUUUUUGAGUAUGGCUUGCAAGCUAAGAAUGGUUUUUACAUUUUAAAAUGGUUAUAAAACAAGAAAUCAUACUUUGUGAGGUAUAUGAAGUUCAAAUUUCAGUGUCCACGAAUAACGUUUGGUUGGAACAUAGUCAUGAUCAUUUGUUUAGGUCCUGUUUAUGGCUGCUCUUGAGUAAUAGGGCAGAGUUGAGAAGUUGUGAAAGAGACCUCAAGAAAUGAAACCACACACCUAACACCAUCUGAUCUUCAACAAAGUCAACAAAGUAAGUAAUGGAGAAAGGACUCCCUAUUCAAUAAAUGGUGCUGGCUAGCCAUAUGCAGAAUAAAAUUGGACCCCUAUCUAUCACCAUAUACAAAAAUUCAUUCAAGAUGGAUUAAGGUUUAAAUGUAAGACCUCAAACCAUAAGAGUCCUAGAAGAAAGCCCAGGAAAUACCAUUCUGCAUCAGCCUUGGGAAAGAAUUUAUGACUAAGUCCUCAAAAGCAAUUGCAACAAAAACAAAAAUGACAAAUGGGACCUAAUUAAACUAAAGAGCUUCUACACAACAAGAGACACUAUUAAGAGAGUACAAAGACAACCCUCAGAAUGGGAGAAAAUAUUCACAAACUACGCAUUUAAGAAAGGUCUACAAAUCAACAAGCAAAACAACAAAUAACCCCGUUAAAAAGUAGGCGAAAGAUAUGAACAGACACUUCUCAGAAGAAGGCAUACAAGCAGCCAACAAACUUAUGAAAAAAUGUUCAUCAUCACUAAUCAUCAGAGAAAUGCAAAUCAAAACCACAAUGAGAUAACAUCUCACACCAGUCAGAAUGGCUUUUGUUAAAAAGUCAAAAAAUAACAGAUGUUGGCGAGGCUGCAGAGAAAAGGGAACACUUACACACUGUUGGUGAGAAUGUAAAUUUGUCCUGCCACCGUGGAAAGUAAUUUGGAGAGUUCUCAAAGAACUAAGAGCUGAACUACCGUUCGACCCAGCAAUCCCAUUACUAGGUAUAUACCCAAAGGAAAAUAAAUUGUUCUACCAAAAAGACACCAAACCAGAUAUUGAAUGUUCUCACUCAUAAGUGGGAGCUAAACAUUGGGUACAAGUAAACUUAAAGAUGGGAGGCUGGGUGCGGUGGCUCACGCCUGUAAUCCCAAUACUUUGGGAGGCCAAGGCAGGAGGACUGCUUGAGGCCAGGUUUGAGACCUGUCUGGGCAACAUAGCAAGACCCCGUCUCUACAAAAAAAACAUAGUAAAAUAAAAUAAAAUUAGCCC
rnacentral:lncRNA from 1 species